rnacentral:rRNA from 1 species
CGGCGGACGGGUGAGUAACACGUGGAUAACCUACCUAUAAGACUGGGAUAACUUCGGGAAACCGGAGCUAAUACCGGAUAAUAUUUUUAACCGCAUGGUUCAAAAGUGAAAGACGGUCUUGCUGUCACUUAUAGAUGGAUCCGCGCUGCAUUAGCUAGUUGGUAAGGUAACGGCUUACCAAGGCAACGAUGCAUAGCCGACCUGAGAGGGUGAUCGGCCACACUGGAACUGAGACACGGUCCAG